CUCCGUGCAUGUUAUGGCACCUUUGGGAUGUGUUAGUCAUAAGAAUGAAGCUACUGGUGCUUUGCAGGAAUAUUUUCACUCUGGCUCUCGCAGGAGAGCUCUGACACAGCCCUGCUGUCGGCACGGCUGGGGCGCGUUUGCUCGCUGGUGCCUCCUGAGAUUCCAGACCGCUCCAAAAAAACAGGGGGAAACAUCCAAUUUUUAUUUCCUCAGGGAACACUAAGAAAAUUUUUCUUUCCGAGCCUGUCUCCUGAAACGAGCUCCAGGAGUGGUCACAACCUGCCAUAAAAAUGCCAUGUGCAAGAGAAUAUAUUUAAUAUCGGGCAAGCAGAAUGGAACGAUACGAUCUGUUUGGGGUUGGAAGCUUUUCCAGGCAAAGGAGGAUCUGCUCCAUCACCAUCUGUGCAGCCGCUGGCAGGGGCAGCUCCCCAGCCACACCAAAGGAAUUCCCCGAGCCCAAAAACACCCCAGGCAUCGCCUUUGUGAAGGACAGAACUUCACAAAGUCCAUCCCACUGAUGGAUGACAGAGGGAGGAUCUGCAGCCUGAGAGGAUCCCUUGGGAUGGCCCUGACUGCCUUGGUGACACCAUCUGAAUUACACUUCCCCUUUCAUCAGACUCCUGGCAUCACAAAAAGAGCCUCUUGAGAUUUCCCGACUGGAGAUGGAUGAAUGAGCCCAACAGUGCCUGGCUCGAGGUGUGAUGUCCCUCCAGAACAGAACAAACCCUGAACUUCCUUCAGAUGAGUGUUUGGAGAUGUUUGAUGUUUGGAGAUGUUUGAUGUUUGGACACAGCCCAGCAGCACUGUCUGGCCUCUGCAUGGGUGGCAUAUUUUGGGGAGGAGGUAUUUUGGGAAACCAGGGCUCAGCACACACCGACCUCUCUCAGGUGGGCUGGGCUGUCUGAAGUGCAUUUCUACCUGAAAGAACGGAGUCAGGGUGAAAACCAGCCUGGGACAUCUCCCCAGAACAACUUGCAGCUUGAUUUUCAGGCCCUUCCUCCUUCAACAAACACCAUGUCCCAAACAAAAUACCUCCAUCAACACCAAAAUCCCUUGGACAAGCCCCUGAACAAGUGGUGUGUACACUUUCAACUGAUAGCUGAUUCCAGCUAGUUGUUGUCCUCAGAGAACAAGAAAAGAGACAGGAAAGUUGGCCCGAGGUCAAUUCCUGCCCUGGGUAGCGCUGUAAUGCAAGAGGAUUUAUGAAUCUUUAAUUGCAGUUGCUUUGCUAUAAAUGCUUAAUGAAAACACCGUGUCCAAGGCUGUCGGUGAUCAGGGGGGUUACAAGGAGGUUAAAUAACCUGCAGGGCAGGAAUCACAAAGGACCCAGCUGGAUUCCUCGUGGAUCUGCUCUGGAGAGGGGCUGCCAGGGCUGCAGGGGUGUGAUGAGGGUGGUGUGAUGAGGGUGUGAUGUGAGUGUGAUGAG
rnacentral:lncRNA from 1 species